UCCUUACAGCAACCCUUUGAGAUAAGUACAGGUCCACAAUCUCUUAUGCAUAAUUUUGAAAAUUAAAAAGAUUUUUUUCUUGACAUUGAGAUUCAUUUGGCAGCUAAACCUGACACGAACUGUCAUAAGACUUUUAUAAUCCUUAGUUUUCCCACUUAGUGUAAAUAGUCGUGCAUUUUGUGGCAGAAAUAUUAAUGUGUUUGGUUAUGCCAUGGGCCCUGAUGGAGGUAUUAUAUACAUAUGGCAUAUGUACUGUAUUAACUUCUAAAGUCCCACAGAUUCUCAGUUCCAAAGCACAGCUCUGAUCCCAAGGAUCCUGAACAAAAGAACGUUUCAGUUAUCCAUUGUUGCAUAAUAAACUACCCCAAAACGUAGUAACCUAAAACAGCAACCAUUUUAUUAUCUCUCACAGUUCUGGGCUCAUCUGAUCUUGCUUGGAGUCUCUCCUGAAAUUGCAGUCAGAUAUUGACUGGAGCUGGAACCAUCUGGAAGUUCAGCUGGGACUGUGGGAUGGCUGGCUCUCUCCCUCUUCAUGCUCUCCCUGUAACCUCAGUGCCUCUUUUCUCCACAUGGUUCUUCAUAUGGUUUCCGUAGCAUGAUAGCCAGAUGUAUUAAAUGGUAGCUUUAGGGAUAUUCAAAAGCAGAAGCUUAGAAGCUUUCUUAAAGUGUAGGCCCAGAAAUAGCACAACAUAACUUUGUUAUUUUUUAUUGGUUAAACAGUUACAGGGCCAG
rnacentral:lncRNA from 1 species